CCACUCACUCAUCCCCAUAUUCCAUUUGUAAGCCAUUUCAAAGGCAGACAGUUAGGAUAUAAAUUGAGAAUCCAUCAUUACAGGGGUUCAGAAUUAAGGAAGAUAAUAUAGUAGGGUACAUAACAAGUGAAGAACUUGGGGCAGAGUACAAAUCUUGGAUAUUUGGGGAUUCUGAUAAUUGGGACAGUCAGCCACCAUACUUGGAAGUCUGCGCUGAGGGCUGUUUCCUUAUUCCUUGCUUGUUCAGUAAAUUGUGACAGGUACACUCCAGGAGCAUGACUUUGCUCUUAUGUGCAGCCAUGUAUAUGAGAACAAUCAGGUCUGAGGAUUUUACUGCAUAUAUUUGUUUGCUCUGGUUCAGACUUCAGUCUGAGUGCUGAUUUGAGUGUCUCAUUACAAGGUUAGGAUCUUCUAUUUACACACCUACGUUUGAAAAUUGGGCUCUGUGAGUGCUGCUUUUUAGAGACAAAAACUAGUCUUUUUCUGGAAAAUGUUAGCAAAGAGCUAAAUACUGAAGCUGACAUCAAUUUUCAUUAAGAAUGACCAUGAAACUAAAAGUUCAUACUGAGAUAUUAUUUUCCACUUACAUAACUGUGAUUUACACUUACAGCCCUGCUACUGGGAAACUUAGGCUGUCUGACUUCACAUUUUCCAGGAAAAAAAAAUGUAAAGCCUGUAAAUCAUACAUACAUAUUUUUGACUCAGGGCAGCAGGGGAGUGGAGAUUUCCUUAAAAUGCAGACUUGUGCAACAGAGAGUAAAACAAAUGAAUUAAUAGUUGUACUGUAUAUAUUGCUCCCAAGGUUAACAAGGAACUGUUUUUUAUUUUUACAAAAUACUGCUUUGUAACAUUAAUAACCUUUUAAUUAAGAUUUGUUUCUGAAGUUGAAUCUGGAAACCCAAGUUGGCAAGAUGUCUAGGCCCCAAUUAAUAGUACUUUUAAAGAUCUGUCACUAAGCCAGCUUGCAUACUUGUAGAUUAAUGUUAGUAGCAGAAAAACAAUCUGAAGAACAUUAGAAAGCCAUCCUCCUAAUGGGAAAAGCAUUUGUGAAAUAA